rnacentral:rRNA from 1 species
GACGUAGGGCGCGAGCGUUGUCCGGAUUUAUUGGGCGUAAAGAGCUCGUAGGCGGCUUGUCGCGUCGAAUGUGAAAACUCGGGGCUCAACUCCGAGCUUGCAUUCGAUACGGGCAGGCUAGAGUUCGGUAGGGGAGACUGGAAUUCCUGGUGUAGCGGUGAAAUGCGCAGAUAUCAGGAGGAACACCGGUGGCGAAGGCGGGUCUCUGGGCCGAUACUGACGCUGAGGUACGAAAGCCAGGGGAGCAAACGGG